rnacentral:misc_RNA from 1 species
CGGCCGCGCAUACUAGUUUGUCCGGCCGUUAGGGAAUCAUGGACACUGACUUGCUGUUGACUCUUAGCAGCUUCUGCCGUGUCCGCAUGCAAGCUCGUCCCGUGUUUUCUGCAGAGUCAAGGACGUUUGUUGAUGAUGUCGACACUUUCAUCAAGCAUUGGCAGCGCAGCAGGAGUGAGCAGACUGCGACCUUGCUCGCCUUUUUGAAAGCUGUGGCUUAUGCCUCUGUAGAGGCGGAAACAAGAAGAGAACAACUCAUCGGGUCCUGGCUGCUUUGCAGCUUGCUGAUGGAGAGGAAGGCAGACGUUGGCAAGCUGUACUGGCAGUGCGAGCGCGCGAGACGAAUUUUGCCACUAUCAUUGCGAGUAAACCGCUUUGGUGUUGACGAGCGCGACAGCAGCGUACUCGGCUCACUUAGCCUCACCCCUGAAGCUGCUAGAUCACACAAUAAGGGCAUGGCUCCAACCAGUUUCUCAUCGAAUUCUGUAAAGGGUUACCACAAGGAGAUUCGAGCUGUUGAAGCCGCCGGCGCUUACAACGCUACUCUUCAGGCUGAGCGUGAUUCGCAAACCUCGGAGCUUGAUUUUGUUCUGCCCGAGUGCGCAGAAAGCAAGGAUGUAGUUAUUUUCUGCGCUCAAAUGAUCGAAAAGCGAAAGUGCUUUCGAUCAUGUUGUGUCAGACGAUUAGACGAUUGCUGUCAUGCAAAACACUUGGAGGCGUGCUUGACCGAAUCAGGUGUGCAAGUUGUUUUCGUGCAGCAGUCUAUUAAUAAGCAGCUGAAAGAAGCUUUUAGGAGGCAGAAGGUCUUGUUUCUUGAGCGAGUUGGACGCAGGACUGUAGAUGCAUCGGAGAAAACGCUUCGAUGGACAAUCUUUGAGAACUUUAGCGACUGGUUCUUUUUCAUAAGAGCAAAGCCCAGUCAAACGUCGUGGAGAUGCUGGGCAACUACCACGCAGCAUCAAUGUGGUCUGACCCUCAAACUGCGUAUAAGACACCGCCCCAAGAACACUAGAGAGAGUACAGGAUCAAUACAGCGCUCCUCGUAUGGUGCUGUGAAGAAACCGGUCCUCCGCGAAGUAAACAGCAAAGUCUUGGGAACCGAGGGAUUUGGAACCGGCGGUGACGUCGAGGCGUUCCUGCUCCGGAGUAGUUUUCUCGCAGCCCUGCUGUGUGGGUGUGCAGAUGGCGAGGGGAAUGGAGGAGGGGAAAAUGCAGUGCUUGUAAUGAACUACGAAAUUUCAUUGCGUAUUCUUGACGCAGUAUGUCAGCUGUGCCGUGUUCUUAUGUAACACGAACAAGCAGUGAUUUGCAACCU